AUGAACGCUGGCGGCGUGCUUCACCCAUGCAAGUCGAACGGAAAGGCCCAAGCUUGCUUGGGUACUCGAGUGGCGAACGGGUGAGUAACACGUGGGUGAUCUGCCCUGCACUUCGGGAUAAGCCUGGGAAACUGGGUCUAAUACCGGAUAGGACGAUGGUUUGGAUGCCAUUGUGGAAAGUUUUUUCGGUGUGGGAUGAGCUCGCGGCCUAUCAGCUUGUUGGUGGGGUAAUGGCCUACCAAGGCGUCGACGGGUAGCCGGCCUGAGAGGGUGUACGGCCACAUUGGGACUGAGAUACGGCCCAGACUCCUACGGGAGGCAGCAGUGGGGAAUAUUGCACAAUGGGCGCAAGCCUGAUGCAGCGACGCCGCGUGGGGGAUGACGGCCUUCGGGUUGUAAACUCCUUUCGCUAGGGACGAAGCGUUUUUGUGACGGUACCUGGAGAAGAAGCACCGGCUAACUACGUG
rnacentral:rRNA from 1 species